rnacentral:rRNA from 1 species
UACGGAGGGGGCUAGCGUUGUUCGGAAUCACUGGGCGUAAAGCGCACGUAGGCGGAUUGUUAAGUCAGGGGUGAAAUCCUGGAGCUCAACUCCAGAACUGCCUUUGAUACUGGCGAUCUUGAGUCCGGGAGAGGUGAGUGGAACUCCGAGUGUAGAGGUGAAAUUCGUAGAUAUUCGGAAGAACACCAGUGGCGAAGGCGGCUCACUGGCCCGGUACUGACGCUGAUGUGCGAAAGCGUGGGGAGCAAACAGGG